rnacentral:lncRNA from 1 species
GUGCUACAGCUACUCACAGUGAAACUGCUAGAGUUUGACUACACAUAAACAUGGGUCUCAAUAAGCCCUUAUAGUGGAUGUUGGUGACAAUUGAUCCACUAUAAGAGUAGGAUAUGCACCAAGAUGGGAUCUAUUGAUCCUAGCAGAAUGGAGUAAUCCUAUGAAAUUUAAGAGACUGAGUCCUUAAGUCUAUGGCCAUAGUAGUGUGAUUGAUGAAAAAGAGUUUCUAUGAGAAUCACAUAUGGACUCGAGCUGAUUGAAUCUAUCAUAUGAUCGAUGAUGAAGUUUGAUAAUUUAUCUAUGACCUGCC